GCAAGAGGAAGAAAAGUCGAACAAGGUCCCGUAGGGGAACCGCGGAGGGAUCAACACCACCAAAUAGAAGGCCGGCUUCACGGCCGGCCGAAGUAUUUUUUUCACCCAUGUCUUUUGCGCACUUGUUGUUUCCUGGGCGGGUCCGCCCGCCACCAGGACCAAACCACAAACCUUUUUUUUUUAUGCAGUUGCAAUCAGCGUCAGUAAAAACAAUGUAAUUAUUACAACUUUCAACAACGGAUCUCUUGGUUCUGGCAUCGAUGAAGAACGCAGCGAAAUGCGAUACGUAGUGUGAAUUGCAGAAUUCAGUGAAUCAUCGAAUCUUUGAACGCACAUUGCGCCCUUUGGUAUUCCAAAGGGCAUGCCUGUUCGAGCGUCAUUUGUACCUUCAAGCCUUGCUUGGUGUUGGGCGUUUGGUCUCUCUUUCUUGGGAGACUCGCCUUAAAACGAUUGGCAGCCGGCCUACUGGUUUCGGAGCGCAGCACAUAUUUUGCGCUUUGUACCAGGAGAAAAGGACGGUAAUCCAUCAAGACUCUACAUUUUUUAACUUUUGACCUCGGAUCAGGUAGGGAUACCCGCUGAACUUAAGCAUAUCAA
rnacentral:rRNA from 1 species